CAGAGUAGAAAGCUAUGCGUGAAGUGUCAGCGGGACGGGGAGUUGCCGGCUGAACGAAAGAUUUCAUAAUGAAAUUUGCGGUAUAGCUUUCGCAUCCCGCUG
rnacentral:ncRNA from 1 species